AGAGCUGCGUGGGCUCCUAAACACUCCGUGAAGUAUGUUUAUGUCUGCUCUGACCACUUCAUCACAGGAAAGCCUGUUGAUGUUCCUGGUCACCCAGAUUAUAUACCCCACCUGAAAAUCUUUGACUCAAAGGGCAAGGCAGUGCAAACCCCACAGGACAGUUUGAGCUUUGACAUCACGGACACUUCGACCUCUGCAAACAAGCUAGAAAGAUUUCAGCGAUAUCUGAAGCUGCAGAAGACUCGAUGUUCACUCGAGCCAAACAAAAUUUCUGCUCUAGUCAACAGAGAAAAUUCAUCACAGGAAGAGA